AGAAUCAACGCUGGCGGCGUGCCUAACACAUGCAAGUCGAACGAGAAAGUGGAGCAAUCCAUGAGUAAAGUGGCGACCGGGUGAGUAACACGUGACUAACCUACCUUCGAGUGGGGGAUAACCUCGGGAAACCGGGCUAAUACCGCAUAACAUCUUUGAAGUGGAAAUUUCGGAGAUCAAAGGAGCAAUUCGCUGGAAGAGGGGGUCGCGGCUGAUUAGCUAGUUGGCGGGUAACGCCCACAAGGCUUAGAUCGGUA
rnacentral:rRNA from 1 species